CAGCGCCUACGGGACGCAGCAGUGAGGAAUAUUGGUCAAUGGCCGAGAGGCUGAACCAGCCACGUCGCGUGAGGGAAGACGGCCCUACGGGUUGUAAACCUCUUUUGUCGGGGAGCAAAGCGAGUCACGUGUGACUCAUUGAGAGUACACGAAGAAAAAGCAUCGGCUAACUCCGUGCCAGCAGCCGCGGUAAUACGGAGGAUGCGAGCGUUAUGCGGAUUUAUUGGGUUUAAAGGGUGCGCAGGCGGAGG
rnacentral:rRNA from 1 species